rnacentral:lncRNA from 1 species
GAUGAAGAAACAGGGAGAAUUAGUAACUCACCUACAGGAUGCAGCCAACUAGGGCAGAGUGGACCCUGAAGUCUAGAGGAUUCACCACAAAAAGUCUCAUUUCUGGCUGAACCAGACGGGUGCUCCGAUGGCCACUCGAGGCCAGGCUGUCACUUCCUACUUCUCAGUGUCAGCUUCCUGUCUCCAGCUGCCCAUUGACGCCUGGCGCCCACAGUCACUGAGGACAGGCCCUCAGCCUGCGCUGGGACUUCUGAGUGGAUUUGUCCUUUCAGCCUGUGCUCAAUGAAUGUUCAAAGAAUGAAUGGAUGCAGAAAUGAAUGAUCAAAUGAAUAAAUGAAUGAAAGCAAUUCUAGAUAUUCUGAUGGCUACUGAGAUGCAGAAGGCGUGAUUCUUGACAUCUAGUAUUUGAAUGGGGAAGACACAGACUAAGUAAUGGUUGAACAACUUGAUCUGCUUAACAUAUGAAUAAAAA